CAAGUGCUAGUUGAAUAAGCUGGCACCUUGACGGUACCUAACCAGAAAGCCACGGCUAACUACGUGCCAGCAGCCGCGGUAAUACGUAGGUGGCAAGCGUUAUCCGGAAUUAUUGGGCGUAAAGCGCGCGCAGGUGGUUUCUUAAGUCUGAUGUGAAAGCCCACGGCUCAACCGUGGAGGGUCAUUGGAAACUGGGAGACUUGAGUGCAGAAGAGGAAAGUGGAAUUCCAUGUGUAGCGGUGAAAUGCGUAGAGAUAUGGAGGAACACCAGUGGCGAAGGCGACUUUCUGGUCUGUAACUGACACUGAGGCGCGAAAGCGUGGGGAGCAAACAGGAUUAGAUACCCUGGUAGUCCACGCCGUAAACGAUGAGUGCUAAGUGUUAGAGGGUUUCCGCCCUUUAGUUGAAGUACGCAUUAAGCACUCCGCCUGGGCGAGUACG
rnacentral:rRNA from 1 species